GAUGAAGAACGCAGCGAAAUGCGAUAAGUAGUGUGAAUUGCAGAAUUCAGUGAAUCAUCGAAUCUUUGAACGCACAUUGCGCCCCUUGGUAUUCCAUGGGGCAUGCCUGUUCGAGCGUCAUUUGUACCUUCAAGCUUUGCUUGGUGUUGGGUGUUUGUCCCGAGGGACUCGCCUUAAAGUAAUUGGCAGUCAGUGUUUGGUUUUGAAGCGCAGCACAAGUCGCGAUUCAAGGCUACACGCCCGCUUCCACAAGCCUUUUUUCACUUUUGACCUCGGAUCAGGUAGGGAUACCCGCUGAACUUAAGCAUAUCAAUAAGCGGAGGA
rnacentral:misc_RNA from 1 species